ACAACUGAUCAGAUAAGGCCUCCUGUGAAGAAGGGUUUCAGACUGGACAUCCGUUGGCUAUAAGUUCUUAGAAGUUACUCAAGAAAUAGUGCAUUUGCAAUAUAUUAACUUGGCUGGGACUUCUGCAGCAGGCAAAGUGGUUGGCAAGUCAAUUAGGAAAAGAACAUGUGAGAAAUCUACCAGAGAAGAAUUUAGUUCUCGGAGAACAAAAGGAAUGGCUUUUGAAUCACUUGGUGCAUGCAGUUUGAGUAGAUUAUAGACUAUUGCUAAGGUUAAAUUCAUGACAUCUACGCUGUUUGUACUGUAUAUAUGGUUUUAAUAUAGGAAUUUAGGACUGAAGAAGACUUCGUGAGUCAACAAAUUCAGUCUUUUCUUAUUGCUGGAAAUCACGUACCUUUAGUACACCUAUGGCAUUGUGAACUAUUAUCAUUUUAAUGUUCUCAUGAACAUUUAUUGCAAGUUUAAUUUUAUUUUUUACAAUUCCAAACAAAAACAAUUUAUAUGUAAGUUUUUCACUGUAAUCUCAGCAAUGAAAGUUGUUGGUGCCAUUGAAAAGAAUUCUUCAUAAUGGAAGUAGACAAAGUGGCUCUAAAACCAAUUCCCAAGGGAAAAGUGCACGGUAGAAUUACUGUGAGGGCUUUGGAAUGUGUAUCAGAAUAUACAAUUCUUGGUACUUCAGAAGACACUGGAGAUGCUAGCAUUAUUCCUAGGUUCAUGCAUACCCACAAGCAUACCUUGGAUAAUCAUUUAAGGUUAUUAUAUUUUAAUUAAAUACGUGCUAUGUAAAUAAAAAAUGAUCUAUC
rnacentral:lncRNA from 7 species